ensembl:lncRNA
AUGUCAGUUUCUGCUCAGAACCCUGCUCCUGGAAUCCUCUCCCAGGGAUCUUCCUCGGGCGCCAUGGCAGUGAAGAGACACACCAAGCAGGAGACCCUGGCCCUGCGGAAGCAGCUUAUCGGGUCGGAAGCGAAUGACCUGGCCCUGCGGCUGUCGCGCCAGUACACGGGACAUCGGGAUGUGGUGGUGAUUGACCAUGCUUACCACGGGCACCUGACCUCCCUAACUGACAUAAGCCCUUACAAGUUCCGGGAACUGGACGGACAGCCGGAUUGGGUCCCGUGGUAUGUCCCUCUCCCAGAUAUCUACCGGGGCAUUUACCGGGAAGACCACCCAGAUCCAGCCACGGCCUAUGCGGAAGAGGUAAAGAAAGUGAUCAACGAGGCCGAGGACAAGGGCAGGAAGGUGAGAGCCGGGGCGGCCCUGGCCAAGGCUGGGAGGGAGGCUGGGGGGGGGGGGGGCAAGACUAGCUCAGUUUUCAAUGUUAAAGUUCUGUGGGUUGGAGGUCAGGGUCAGAGGUACAUAUUUUCUUUCUUAGUAACAACUCUAAGGCAGAAGGGCAGGGGCAGAUGGGUGGCUCAAAAUGCAAAGGGAGUAAAAGUAACCAAGUCCCUACUCUGUGUGCCCUUAAAGGAGGGCAUAGGAGGAGAUGAAAUGGCUCCUACCUUCAUGGAGAUUGUGGUGAGAUCAGCCUGCCACUUCUAUUCCACAUUUGCGGGAAGCCCUGUUUCCUGUGCAGUGGGUUUGGCAGUCUUGGACGUCUUAGAGAAGGAGCACCUCCAGGCCCAUGCUGACCACGUGGGAGAGUUCCUGAUGGGGCUGCUGAAGCAGCAGCGGGAGAAGCAUCCCAUCAUUGGCGAUGUCAGGGGUGUUGGGUUGUUCAUUGGUGUGGAUCUGAUCAAAGAUAAGGCAACAAGGACGCCAGCCACAGAAGAAGCUAACUAUCUGAUUUCUAAGUUAAAGGAUAACCAUAUUUUGUUGAGCACAGAUGGACCUGGAGGAAACGUCUUGAAAUUUAAGCCUCCAAUGUGCUUCAAUAUGGACGAUGCCAGAUUAGUUGCAAACAAAAUUGACACAAUUUUAACAGAAAUGGAGAAAAACAUGAGCACCUGUGAAACCCUUCAAAGUGUCGAAUGAGCUGGCUAGGUCUUCCCUGGGAAACCUGGGUUCAGAGAAUAUCCCAAAAGAUGAAGGAACCCUGCCAGCUCAUCCCAAGGUGACAAGAAAUUCUAACUCAAUCUAUUCACCAUUUACCUUGUAACAGCGGCUAUAACGACCAGACCUGUUAAACUCAAAACAAAAGCUUCUGUUGCUAUACAUCUUAACAGCUCAUCUUAACAAUUCUGGAGAGCACAGGCUUGGAAGGCAGAUGGGCCAGUGAGACCCAAACUUCUUUUCCCCAAAAUAUUCAUCCCCACCCACAUUUUUAGGUGUUAUACACUACUAUAGCCACACUAACCACUCUAUUACUGUUAUUAAAGGCAUCAGACAGACAUGGGUCAAAGUGGUUAGAAAAUUAAGGUCAGAAAAGAAAACAGGGAAGAUGAAUCCUGGUUUCUACCAUUUUGCCUUGGGACAAAUGACUCAACUCUGCUCUGGGCCUUUUUUAGGCUUGAAGAUCUAAAUGUCUUCAAUGGAAUGUUUUUGAACAUGUCUGUCCAAAUUUGUUUCAACAAUUAAAGCUACCAUGAAAUGUCUAUAUUUUUCUUAAACAAGUUUUGUACUUGAUGAAGGGGCAGCAAAUAUGACAUGCUCUUUUGCCUCACACCGACUCUUGCCUUAAGGACAGUUGGCUGUAGUGGGAGACUAUCCUAGUCUCUGAAAUAGAUUCCCAAGUGCCCCCAGGAUGAGCAAGCUGGGAUGUGGGUCAGUUGUCAGGGAGAUCUGUCUAUAUUCUUUCAAUAGUUGGAAGAUUAAGAAAUGGCACACUAGCUGGUUUGGGGUGUGUUUUUUGUUAAUUUUUUAUUUCAAAAGCUAGGAUAGCUUCAAUAUCCAUGUCAUGGUAAUCAGGACACAUGUAAAAUACCUUACAAUACAUUAGAUUCCCAAAAGGUACCAAAAAGUACAGUAAAAUUAACACUUCCAUUGCCGGAAAUGUAUGACACAAACAAUAUAAAAUAAAAAGGUGAAAAAAAGGAGGCA